UUCUUUCCGCUUUCUCGAAGCGCUCCAGGACGCAGGUGGCACGCUCAACGCGGGGAGGCGCCACCUGUUUCUAGCCAGAGGAGCUAGAGGCCAGUGGGAACCUGCCUCAUAGGAGAGGACUUUGUCCUUGACUCCCGCUAAUUUUCAUUGAUUUAUGGGGCUUGAAAGCAUUUAUUUUCUGCUCAGAGGCAGCCCAGCUCCUGCUAAGGAGGUGCAGGACUCCCCUAAAUGCUGUCACCAUGGAGAGGCGAGCAGCAGAGGUGGCUCUCAGGGCAACAGCUACAUUUCCUGCUCAGUUCCAGUUGCUACCUAAGAGCUGGGAGGGUCCAAUGGGAGCUGCUGGCCCUGCUGUGACAGCCUCCCCACUCCUGUCCCCAGAGCCUGCCUGCUUCUGGUCACAGCUACUUGAGUUUAACACUCCUGGCAGCUUAGCACUCUGGUUUUUAUGUGUGAAGCCGUAAUAUUUGGUGAGCUGUGAGAUGAGGUGGCAAGAUUUGCAACUGGCAUUCCCUUCCGGCCCUGCCCUGUGAUUCAGGUCAGUGGUGUGACAAAGUGAGGCCACCCCUCCUCCCCACUCUGGCUUCCCACCUGUGGCUAUUUGGAAUGAUGUCUUUCCUUCGUUUUCUCCUCUUCCCCCAUCCCAUGCCUGAUAGACUCCCGUAGCUCUUGGCUUUCAAAAGGGGGUAUUCAGUCCUCACAUUCCAAACCAUCUGCUCAAUUAAACAUUUUAAACAGCAAUUCUGAGUCUGCCCAGGACCACAUUCCAAAAGGUGGGUGUCAGGAGAUAGGCUUUCUAAAUGUCAGAGGCUCUGUGAAAAUCUUAACUGAUGAGGAAGUGGGCCAGCUAGAAAGCAUCACGUUUUCUUGGAGAUUAGAAACAUAAGACUCAGUGUCCAUACUUUCAAAAUUCCUCUUCCUGAGGCACAUGAUGAGUCAUUUGAGCAUCUCUAGUCCUUUUCUCCAGGUCUGUAUUCCCUGAGCCUUCCUGCCCUGUUUCCUGAGCCAGGGUUGAAGUUCAGAUUCCUGUGGGUCCCCCCAGGCAUCCUCCUUAUCUGCAGUUGUCUUAAUUUCUGUCCCAUCUUCCCACCCAU
rnacentral:lncRNA from 1 species